AAUUCUCUGCCCUCUCCUUCUCAGUAUCCUCCCACCACCCCAGCUCACCCCACGGUACUCUUUUUCCUUUGUCUCUCUGGCUUCUUUGUCAGUGAGGCGUGCUUCUUGCUCGCUGUAAUAAUAAGGCUUUCAAUAGGCUGGUGGCGGUACCGCUCCGGCUAGUCCUUAUGAGCGGCCCAUGGUUCCACAAAGACCACUUGUUGACGCCAGGUGAGACAGAGAGAGCAACAGAGACGAGGGAGAAAACGGUGAGAUAGAUAGUCAGGGGUGGGUCUCUGCUAGGCAAACAAAGCCUUGGCUAUUUCAAGGUUGUCAUGUGUCAUGCUGUCCAUGGGCCCGUCUACACACGGCUGUUUUGCAGAAGCUUGGCCAAAAAUAUCUUGGACCCUAAAUGUCAAUCAAAGCCGUAUUAAGUGGCUCGUGGCUGAGAGAAGAUAGUGUACUUCAUUUUGAACAUGGGUAAUUAAUAAUGAUUGUCCAUCCAUCCAUCCAUCUUCAUCCGCUUUAUCCAAGGCCGGGUCGCGGGGGCAGCAGCCUAAGCAAAUGAUUGUCUCUUUCGUUAUUUAUCUUGAUCUCUUCUUUUAUUUUCUGCUUUUUUUUUUCUUCACAAUUUUGACUCAUUUUCACUCUAUCUGAAUCUAUUUUGCAUUUAUUUGUCCCUGAGGAGAUGGUAAUGUAAGCAUUAUGCCUCAGGCCACAAAACAAGUCAGAAACAAAACCAACCAGCAUUUGUGUACUUUUGUUGUCCUCAUAUUUUUGAUGUGUUACACCUAGAAUGAUUUAGAUAUCACUUGAGGUUCUUUUCAGAGAUUAAUCUCAUUAUAAGCUUUUUUUUCUCUUUUUUUGUUUGGUUUUGUACCACUUUCCUCUGUCCAGAAUGUGCAGACAGAAGAGAUGCUCAAACCUCCCUUUCCCCAGCCACUGCCUCUAGCUCUUCCACGGGGAUACAGAGGUAUUCCCAGGCAAGCCAAGAAACAUAACCUCUCCAGCGUGUCGUGGGUCUGCCCUGGGGUCUCCUCCCGGAUGGACAUGUUGAAACACCUCACCUAUGAGGUGUACAGGAAGCAUCCUGGUCAAAUGCCAAUAACUUCAGCUGUGGAAGCUCUACUCUGAGUAUGUCCUGAAUGUCUGAGGCUAUCACCACCAUUUGGAAAUAACCUUUUUCAGCGUCUUGUACCCAUAACCUUAUUGUUUCGGUCACCACUCAAAGUUCAUGACCAUAGAUGAGGAAGGAUGUGGGUUGUUUCACUUUACAGCAGUGAAAAACAGGUUUUGUUAGGUGAUGACUGGACACAGAGUUCUGUAACGCGAUAAAUUAGUGAUAUCAA
ensembl:lncRNA